UGCGUGACCAACCUGCCCCAUGCUUCGGAAUAGCUCCUGGAAACGGGUGGUAAUGCCGGAUGCUCCGCAUCAUCGCAUGAUGGUGUGGGAAAGGGUUUACCGGCAUGGGAUGGGGUCGCGUCCUAUCAGCUUGUUGGCGGGGUGAUGGCCUGCCAAGGCUUCGACGGGUAGCCGGCCUGAGAGGGCGACCGGCCACAUUGGGACUGAGAUACGGCCCAGACUCCUACGGGAGGCAGCAGUGGGGAAUAUUGCACAAUGGGCGAAAGCCUGAUGCAGCGACGCCGCGUGCGGGAUGACGGCCUUCGGGUUGUAAACCGCUUUUGAUUGGGAGCAAGCGAGAGUGAGUGUACCUUUCGAAUAAGCACCGGCUAACUACGUGCCAGCCG
rnacentral:rRNA from 1 species